AUUCGGGCAAAACAUAUUAAUCAGGCAUUCGGAGGAUCAUAACAUCAACCUGAACGGAGGAAGAGAGUCUCCGGAAUUCCAGCAACAUUCUUGAUAAUGUUCUAGAGGUCACACGAAUUGGAAAGCUCAGAUUAAUUACAAGACCAAAA